rnacentral:rRNA from 1 species
UACGAAGGGGGCUAGCGUUGCUCGGAAUUACUGGGCGUAAAGCGCACGUAGGCGGAUCUUUAAGUCAGGGGUGAAAUCCUGGAGCUCAACUCCAGAACUGCCUUUGAUACUGAUAGUCUUGAGUAUGGGAGAGGUGAGUGGAACUGCGAGUGUAGAGGUGAAAUUCGUAGAUAUUCGCAAGAACACCAGUGGCGAAGGCGGCUCACUGGCCCAUUACUGACGCUGAGGCACGAAAGCGUGGGGAGCAAACAGG